rnacentral:rRNA from 1 species
GACGAACGCUGGCGGCGUGCUUAACACAUGCAAGUCGAACGGAAAGGCCCUGCUUUUGUGGGGUGCUCGAGUGGCGAACGGGUGAGUAACACGUGAGUAACCUGCCCUUGACUUUGGGAUAACUUCAGGAAACUGGGGCUAAUACCGGAUAGGAGCUCCUGCUGCAUGGUGGGGGGUGGAAAGUUUCGGCGGUUGGGGAUGGACUCGCGGCUUAUCAGCUUGUUGGUGGGGUAGCGGCUUACCAAGCCUUUGACGGGUAGCCGGCCUGGGAGGGUGAACGGCCACCAUGGGACUGAGGGACGGCGCAGACUGCUACGGGGGGCAGCGGUGGGGAAUAUUGCACAGUGGGCGGGAGCGUGAUGCAGAGGCGCCGGGUGCGGGAUGACGGCCUUCGGGUUGUAAACCGCUGUCGCCUGAGACGAAGCGUGAGUGACGGUAAUGGGUAAAGAAGCACCGGCUAACUACGUG